rnacentral:rRNA from 1 species
UACAGAGGUGGCAAGCGUUGUUCGGAAUUACUGGGCGUAAAGCGCACGUAGGCGGACUCGUAGGUCAAUUGUGAAAUACCUGGGCUCAACCCGGGAACUGCAGUUGAAACCACUUGUCUUGAAUACCUGAGAGGGUGGGGGAAUACCUGGUGGAGAAGUGAAAUUCGUAGAGAUCAGGUGGAACACCGGAGGCGAAGGCGCCUGCCUGGCAGUGUAUUGACGCUGAGGUGCGAAAGUGCGGGGAGCAAACAGG